CAAUAGCGUAUAUUAAAGUUGUUGCGGUUAAAAAGCUCGUAGUUGGAUUUCUGCUUUGCGCGACCGAUUCGCUUUCGGGCUGAUAUCAGGUUUGCACAUCGCAUAUUUCUAGGAAGAGAAGUUGCGCCUUGUUGCGCGACCUCCUACCUGGUGCAUUUACUUUGAGAAAAUUAGAGUGUUUCAAGCAGGCAUUUGCCUUGAAUACAUUAGCAUGGAAUAAUAUUAUAGGACCACGGUUCUGUUUUGUUGGUUUCUGGAACUGAGGUAAUGAUUAAUAGAGACAGUCGGGGGCAUUCGUACUUAACUGUCAGAGGUGAAAUUCUUGGAUUUGUUAAAGACGAACUACUGCGAAAGCAUUUGCCAAGGAUGUUUUCAUUGA
rnacentral:rRNA from 1 species